GAUGAACGCUGGCGGCGUGCUUAACACAUGCAAGUCGAACGGAAAGGCUCCUGCUUGCAGGGGUACUCGAGUGGCGAACGGGUGAGUAACACGUGGGUGAUCUGCCCUGCACUUCGGGAUAAGCCUGGGAAACUGGGUCUAAUACCGGAUAGGACGAUGGUUUGGAUGCCAUUGUGGAAAGUUUUUCGGUGUGGGAUGAGCUCGCGGCCUAUCAGCUUGUUGGUGGGGUAAUGGCCUACCAAGGCGUCGACGGGUAGCCGGCCUGAGAGGGUGUACGGCCACAUUGGGACUGAGAUACGGCCCAGACUCCUACGGGAGGCAGCAGUGGGGAAUAUUGCACAAGGGGCGCAAGCCUGAUGCAGCGACGCCGCGUGGGGGAUGACGGCCUUCGGGUUGUAAACUCCUUUCGCUAGGGACGAAGCGUUUUGUGACGGUACCUGGAGAAGAAGCACCGGCUAACUACGUG
rnacentral:rRNA from 1 species